rnacentral:rRNA from 1 species
GAUGAACGCUGGCGGUAUGCUUAACACAUGCAAGUCGAACGGACUCUUCGGAGUUAGUGGCGGACGGGUGAGUAACGCGUGAGAAUCUGGCUUUGGGUUCGGGACAACCACUGGAAACGGUGGCUAAUACCGGAUGUGCCGAGAGGUAAAAGAGAAAUUGCCUGAAGAUGAGCUCGCGUCUGAUUAGCUAGUUGGUGAGGUAAAGGCUCACCAAGGCAGCGAUCAGUAGCUGGUCUGAGAGGAUGACCAGCCACACUGGGACUGAGACACGGCCCAGACUCCUACGGGAGGCAGCAGUGGGGAAUUUUCCGCAAUGGGCGAAAGCCUGACGGAGCAAUACCGCGUGAGGGAAGAAGGCUCUUUGGUUGUAAACCUCUUUUCUUAGGGAAGAACAAAAUGACGGUACCUAAGGAAUCAGCAUCGGCUAACUCCGUG